AUUUAGAGCAGGGCGACCAGGAGCAGAACCAGGUCACUGAAUAACACAUUCUCGCUCCGUCCACACUGGAACCACACAGGCCCGGACACAACGCACCCAAGUGACGCAGAAAGAGCAGCUUGAGAUGGAGAAAGUAAUGACCGGUGCGAUUGCGCAGGUGUCCGAAGUCAAACGAGAGGGAGUCUGGGCCAGUGCGUCUCUUUACUACAAAACAAAGUCACUCUACUUCACCCUCUCAUGCACUCUGCGGCCAGGGAAAUCACCGCUCCCCAAUGAGCUCCCUCUCAAGUGUGUGUAAGUGUAUGUCUGAAUUUGAACAUCUGGAAGAGAUCUGUCUGCUCCCAUGAUUUACCUUCCGACCACAAGUCUUUCUGAGGUCUUACCACAAUGCGCUAUGUGUGUAUAACAUGGGAAAACAGAGAAAAGAAUAUACUGUAGGUCCUGCUCCCAUUAAAGUCAAUUCUCAUGAUUUUUUACCUGAUAAUAAUUUGCUUUAAUGUGCAUUAUCAAGAAAAGACGACUUUGUAAGACAAAUAUAAAUCUACACUGCCACUAAUCAUUAUAAAUGGCCAGUUUGUCCAAGAAUGAAAAUUCUGUCAUCAUUUACUCAUCCUUAUAUUGUUACAAGCAUGUCUUUCUUCUCUGGAGCACAAAAGAAGGUAUUCUGAAAAAAAGUCUUAAUGCUUUUUUUAUUAAUAAUUUGAAAGUCAACUGGAUCUGAUGUUGUUUUGGACCCCAUUGACUUUCAUUGUAUAGAUAAAAAAAGCUAAAACAUUCUUCUUUUGUGUUCUGCAGAAUAAAGAACGAAAUGAGGAUGAGUAAAUGUGUCGAAUUAUUAACGGUUGGUUCUCACAGGUGACCCAAAGCCCACUUUCCUCCGUCGCUUGCUAAUGGUGGGUAAUGAAGACCACCACAUUGUGUUAAGGGGGCACAACAAAUGAAUCGAAUCUUGGCCGGAAAUGCCAAGUCAUAUUUUCCGAAACCCACCCACCUACACACACACACACACACACACACACACAUACACAUACACAGUGAAGCCCAUCGUGCAGACAACCUCAACCACAACUCCAAACACACUUACUUUCCAGAGUCAUGAACUCACAUCUGUUUCCUGGUGACAAUAAUAGUUACACAUCAGUUAGGAGGAUAUAGUAGCAGGUGUUCAAUUGCCUGAGCAGCUCUGUACAUUAUAACAAAAGCUCCUCCACAACAAACCAGCCACUAUGACUUGCAAAAGCUAAGGAAAGAUGAAGUAAUUGUGCUCAUUAGUUGACUAACACAAUUGUAGCCCAUAAAAACUUAGUGGCUGGUUCUGAAAAAGGUUUUUGCAUUAGAGUCGUGCAUGUGCAUGACAGACACGGCGCUGUCUGAAGAAAAAAUAGGGUUAUGGAUCUACUUCUACUUGUGGAUUCAUUUAUAUAUCUCAAUGUGAGUAUACUGAAGAGGUGGGAUAAAAGAAAAAAUUUCAGGUAGCAAUUCAAAUCAUCCUGAAACUGUAUUAAAACCUAAGCAUGCAUCAUACUGUGUACAGUAAAGUAAUAUCAAAACCAGAAAAAUGAGUACAACAGGCCUACAUAUUCAACAUGUCUUCUUACUUUACGUUGUUUAGUUAGUUCAGUAAUCUAUUUUGUUUUAAUAGUUAAAAGCCCUUGUAAAAAAGUGUGCUUAAAAGUAUUGAAUGUGCACUUGUAGACUAUUUAAAAAAAAACUGUAAAAGACCACUUAAGUGUAGCCUACGUACUUUCAUGAAUAUUGCUGCAUCCGAAAUCACAUACUAAGUAGGUACUACAUUUGAAUUUUAAUUUACUUUAUGGCGUUAAAAAAGUGUUUACAGUAUUAUAAACGUACUACAUCCGCCAUGUUGUUACUGUCACAUGACCUACCAGAAUCAGUUGUGUCGCUUCACUUCCAUUCAUAAAUCCUCUCUCGUGGCCUCAUGGGAUAGUAAAGUGUCCAUUAAAUGAAGGAGUAGGUCAUGCGGGUACUUUUCGGCUACUGUUUUUCGUAUACUGUUUUCGGACACAUUACUCUUUUGGCAUAUUGCUUUUCUCAUACUAUAUAGUAGUAUUCGAUUUUGGAUGCAGUGUCUCUGAACACACUUAAGUAUACUUUUAAAAAAUGUACUUCAAUAAUGUCAAAUUUAAAGUUUUGAUUCAAAGUACAUUUCAAUUUGAUUUAAUAAUCUUUAAUAAUCGUGUUUUAAGUGCACUUUUGAUGU